UACGGAGGGUGCGAGCGUUGUCCGGAAUCACUGGGCGUAAAGGGCGCGUAGGUGGCUUAGCAAGCGUGUGGUGAAAGCCCGGGGCUUAACCCCGGGUCUGCCAUGCGAACUACUAUGGCUAGAGUACUGUAGAGGCAGGUUGAAUUCCGGGUGUAGCGGUGGAAUGCGUAGAGAUCCGGAAGAAUACCGGUGGCGAAGGCGGCCUGCUGGGCAGUUACUGACACUGAGGCGCGACAGCGUGGGGAGCAAACAGG
rnacentral:rRNA from 1 species